ACCAAUCUCCAAUUACUGUGCUGCAAUUUAACUAGUGCAUAGAGGGUAAACCACUGAAAUAGAAUCACUAGAAUGGGUGUCUCCAUUCAAGUCAAUAGGUCUGUAAUGGGUCUGUAAGGGCUAUGGCCAUUCUAGUGGUUGUAUUUCUAUGGGGUAAACCUUUCACAGAGGACAUGUCAGGAUAACAAGUCCCAUGGUCCCACCACCGUCAGCUGAAGGUCUGUCCUUAGUGACAGCCUAGGAGGAAGCCUACUCCCUCCCAGAUAGCUUCCCUCACACCCCUGUCUAAUAUUCACUGUCCUCUGUCCCCUGUCCUGUCUGUCCUGUCUGUCCCCUGUCCUGUCUGUUCUCUGUCCCCUGCCCUGUCUGUCCCCUGUCCUGUCUGUCCCCUGUCCUGUCUGUUCUCUGUCCCCUGCCCUGUCUGUCCCCUGUCCUGUCUGUCCUCUGUCCUGUCUGUCUUGUCUGUCCCCUGUCCUGUCUGUCCCCUGUCCCCUGUCCUCUGUCCCCUGUCCUGUCUGUCCUCUGUCUCCUGUCCUGUCUGUCCUCUGUCCCCUGUCCUGUCUUUCCUCUGUCCUGUCUGUCCUCUGUCCCCUGUCCUGUCUGUCCUCUGCCUUGUCUUUCCUCUGUCCCCUCCCAGCACAUCCUGAUAGUCCAGAGGCAGCUGAAUGUGUUGGAGGAGGAGCUGGAUGAGUUUCGCCUGGCUCUCAGACAGUACAUGGAGUGUGCCUGCGCCCAGACCGGCUGCCUGCAGUAAGAGCUCAUACACUACAACUCUGUCUUUCAACAACAACUUCCUGUAGUAAAUAGAAACAUUUUAGUUUUUCAGGCCCAUUAAGUCUAAUACUGGGGGUUUAAAAAAGCCAGUUUAAUAUCUUGGUGGGUUUUUAUAUGUGUGCUAUUUCACACAUGUACAUUAUAAAUGUGUUUUGUUUUUCUUCAUAUCCCAACUCCCCCUGAGACACAAAUCAACAGAUUUAUUUCACCUUGUUGACUCGGGGUUUUCAAACUAGCGACCUUUGGGUUACUGGCCCAACA
rnacentral:lncRNA from 1 species